AUGCGGUUGCCCGAGGCCCCCAGCCCGCCCCCGGAAGGCAGGGACUGCCAGGGACGCAGCGUGAGGGUGCUGACUGCAGCUCUGGGCUUCGGGGUCCAAGCUCUCCAGCCGCACCGACUCACCAAGCUCCCGGCCCACUUCCAUGAUCACGAGGGCACAAGCCUAACCAAUCCGGGGUGGCCACUGCCCGGCCCUGCGAAGAGUCGAGGAGCGCUGGGAAACUGCGCGGUGCCGAGAGGUAUAAAUUGGAACCUACUGACCCCAAUAGAGAAGCAAACUUGGUGGGGGUGCCUUGUGUUGGGCAUAAGGCGGAAGACGAGGAGGUGGCUCAACAGUUGGCCACUGUCCCCCAGCCGCCAGCGCGUCGCGCGCCUCGCCCGGGUUGGCCCCUCGGCACCCCGCCCGCCCCGGCCCUGCACCGCCGCCGCCCUCCCCGACGCCUCCGGGAAGCUGACCUACCGCGUGCUGCGGAGCUUCCGCGUUGCCAAGGUGUUCUGCGAAAACUCGGACGAGAUUAACCGUUUCGAUUUCAGCCCCAACGGCGAAACGGUCACCUCAAGCAGCGACGACGACUCCAUCGUGCUGUAUGACUGCCAGGAGGGCAAACCAAAGAGAACCCUGUUCAGUAAGAAAUAUGGCGUGGACCUCAUGCGGCAAACACAGUUGUUUACUCUCACAUAAUAGACGGUACUAUUGGUUACUUCUCCUUGCAUGACAAUAAAUACAUUAGAUACUUUCCUGGACAUAGCCAAAGGGUGGUGGCCUUGUCCAUGUCACCUGCGGAUGACGCUUUAAUUUCUGGGUCUCUUGCUAAGACCAUUCGACUCUGGGAUCUCUGGGCUCCUAACUGCCAGGGCCUCAUGCAUCUCCAGGGGAAGUCAGUUUGUUCUUCUGAUCCAGAAGGGUUAAUUUUCGCUGCUGGUGUCAGCUCUGAAAUGGUCAAACUUUAUGACCUUUGUUUUUUUGAUAAGGGGCCAUUUGCUACCUUUAAGAUGCAGUAUGAUCGAACUUGUGAGUGGACAGGACUUCAGCAACGAUGGCAAGCUCAUCCUCAUUUCCACCAAGGGCAGCUUCAUUCCUCUCCCUGAAGCAUUCAAAGGAGGGGUGAUGCACACAUUGGGGGGUUACGCCAACAGCAAAGCUGUCACACUGCAGGCUUCAUUUACUCCAGACUCUCAGUUUAUUAUGAUUGGUUCAGAGGAUGACAAGACCAUGUCUGGAACGGAGAGAGAGGUAUAAAAGUAGCUGUGUUGGAUGGUAAACACACAGGCCCAAUUACCUGUUGGCAAUUCAACCCCAAGUUCAUGACUUUUGCCAGUUCGUGUUCCAACAUGGCCUUCUGGUUGCCCACCAUUGAUAACUGACCCUGAUGCUGCUUGGCUAUUUCUGUACAGUGAGGGCGACCAGCAGGAAAAAACUCAGAGGGGACUGAGAUAAUAGUGGGAUUGGAUCGUUUGACUGGGCUGGAGAACAUCCUUUUACAUGGCCUUCCCAUGGCUGUGCUGUACAUCUGCUCAAAAGAAAAUGAUUACUUUGCUGAGCGUCUUCAAAAGACUCUGGUGCCACAGACUCAAUUGGAACUCAGCUUUUCUAGCUGUCACUGCACCAAGCCCUGGAGGAGUGCAGUGCUGGAGGAGUGACCAGACUCACGAUUUGGGUAUAGUGGGGCUCUCGAGACAGCUUCAGUCUGAAUGUACAUGCUGCUGAGGAGCUGAUGAAGUCAUCAGUUCUGCACAUCCCUUCUCCUACCCCUCUGAAUGCAUGGGAAGCUAGUCCUGGUUUUGACGUUCUCAGGCAGCUCAGUUCCCCUUGCCCUCACCUGCAUGUCUUGUUACGGGGCGUCCCUGUGUACUUGUGGCAUCAUCCUGUUUCUUAGGUGCCAAGCAUUUAAAGAACUGUUUUAAUGUAUCUUGGGGUCAGAGAAAGGGACAAAUACAGGAGGACCUUGCGUGCAGGAAGCCAUGCAGUUAGUCACUGCAGUUAGUUGUGUGAGGCUAGGUGGUCAGGCAGGCCUCAGGCUGUAGUAUUGGGUGGGAAAAGGGCCUGAGAGGGAGGAAAGGGGGAGGGUAGUAGGUGAGUUCCUAGGGCUGGAAGGUUUAGCAACAGCCUGAUGCAGUGCCCUGUCAUUAAGACAAACCCAUGGUCCCCCUGGAUGCCCACCAAGCUUGAUGUAUAAAAGCAAGGUGGGAGUCUAUUUUUGUACAUGAGACAUGUCACACUUUCUUGUGGGCCAGUAUUGUGAAGUGAGUCUGAAUUGUUUACACUGAUGCCUUCCCUGCCCACCACAGAUUUUGUAUAUAGUCUUCAGAUGAUCCCACCCCUUUCCCCAGUUCCCAACCAAGAGCUGCUUCUAGGCCUGUGUUACAGUUAGCUUUUUUAUAUAUGACCUUUGAUUUCUGUCGUAUUUUAGCACAGUGUAUGCACCUUCAUUUAAAUAGAUCUGUGUGCAUACAGAUAUGCAUGUAUGUGUAUGCAUUUGCAUAUAUCUCAUCUGUAGUUUCUGAGAGUUCAGCUGAAGCAGAUGGAGUCCUGCAGCCCAGGAGACAGACUGUUCCUUGCUGACAGUGUUUGCCACAAGUGUUAGUGAGUUUUUCCUAUUAACGUAUUCAUUUUGGAGGACUGAAUGAAGCAAAGCUUAUAGCGUUUGCUGUUUCCAUGGCAGCUAAGUGAGGGUCUGGGGAUGUCUCCCUGUGUUCCUCAAGCCGCACUUUGGGGUCCUGUCUGCAGUAUUAGCCCCCUUUUUUGCUUGGUGGUGCUCUGUCUGUGCCUGUGUGUGUGUGUGUGUGUGUGUGUGUGUGUGUGUGUGUGAGAGAGAGAGAGAGAGAGAGAUAGUCACUCUUGCAUGGCUUCUGUGUCUGGCUGGUGGCAUUUGGGGAUAGGGUGCUGGAGCAAGAGCAUUUGCAGUUUGAGGCCUCAUUGCCAAUGAUAGAUCACUCCCGUUUACCUGGUAUGUCUGCUUGCUUGCUGCUUUGCUUUCUCUCAGAAGAGGAAGGGGCUCUAGUCAGGCCCAGGCUGAGUGAGGCAAGCUGCAGCUGGCUGAUGGCCUUCUUAGAGCAGAAAGAGUGGUAUGUCAUUUUACUAAGUUCCUAAACAAACAUUUAUUCAGGCAACACUCCUUGCAGAUCCAGAAACUGAGGCACAAGAAGGUUAUGACUUGCUCAAAAAUACGUAGCUGCUAGGGAGUAAAUCAAAGCAUCACAAUUUCUGUUCAGCGGCAGGAAUAGGCUGUGAAUUGCUAGCACUUUUAAAGCAAUUACUUUUUGACUUGUUCCUUCUCAAACUGAAAGUGCAAGAGGUGUACACCUUUCCCAAAUAUAGGUUAGAAUCUGCAGGAUGCUACCCACUGUAUAGCUCUGCUUUCCCAGAGAGGA